rnacentral:tRNA from 1 species
UUCAGUGUGGUGUAGUGGUUUGAGUGUUGGACUACAACUCCAGAAUCAGGGUUCUAAUCCCUGCUUCGCUA